GAUGAAGAACGUAGCGAAAUGCGAUAAGUAAUGCGAAUUGCAGAAUUCCAGUGAGUCAUCGAAUCUUUGAACGCACAUUGCGCCCUUUGGUAUUCCGAAGGGCAUGCCUGUUCGAGCGUCAUUAUCACCCCUCAAGCCCUCGGCUUGGUGUUGGACGGUUUGGUGGAGGCCCCCUCGGGGGCUCCUGCCCCUCCCAAAGACAAUGACGGCGGCCUCGUUGGACCCCCGGUACACUGAGUUCUUCACGGGACACGUAUCGGACACAUGGGUUUACGGGACACGGUCUGCCUCCCCUCAGGGAGAAUCUUUCUAAGGUUGACCUCGGAUCAGGUAGGGAUACCCGCUGAACUUAAGUAUAUCAAUAAGCGGAGGA
rnacentral:misc_RNA from 1 species